UCCAUGAACAAAAGAGUAUGUGCUAUUGUUUGAUUUUAUCUUUCUUCUGGAACGUACUAGAACGGCCGGAAAACGUUGUGCUUGCUUCCAAGUAUAAAAAGCCAGAGCAGUUUCAGCACUUCACGCCGUUGCCGUGGAGGCAGAAACGACAACGGAAUCCAGCCUGCUCCCUGCGUCGACCGUUAGCGUGAGACAUACCGGCAGACCAUUCGCCAUGAAGUCCUACGUCAUCUUGGCACUCGUCAUCCUGGGGCAUCUCUGCCAAAUUCACGCAGUCACGCUGAGCAAGCCGGCAGAGAACACGGAUGACGCAACAAAAAAACUCACGGAAAAAAUUUCCCGUUCCCUCAUGGAGCACCGAGAAGACAUCAUCGAGGCUUUGAAGGCGCUCGAACAGCCUGCUAACAGCUUCGGUGAUGAAACCGAUGAGCAAGCUAUUCCGCUCAUAAUUCUGGCAAUAGCAAAGGCCAUCGCCGGCGGCGCUGUAUCAGGCGCUGUUGGAGCUGGUGUGGCGGCGGCAAUUAACAACGGCUAAAUGUAUCAUCGGCGACAUCUCUUAUUGUUUUUAAAUUCAAUAAAUUACAAUUUCUGUCGUAU